rnacentral:misc_RNA from 1 species
GUGAUAUGGGUUUUUUAUAUUUCUUCGAAAUAUUCAAUCAUCAAUAAACAUCUUAGGAGCUUUGUUGCAUGCGACCCCUAUUGAAUUACUACAGAAUUUUGCAGUUUAUUCGGAUAUUAAUUGCUAUCUUAAGAUUUUUCUGACAAAAGAAUUUUCUUUGAUUAUUUAUUGUUCAUGCACUUUCUUUCUUUUUUCUGGAUGGUGUUAAGCUCCCCUCCAUUGUUAUUUUAUUUUAUUGGACAUAUGGUAUUUUUCUUG